rnacentral:rRNA from 1 species
UACAGAGGGUGCGAGCGUUGUCCGGAAUCACUGGGCGUAAAGAGCGUGUAGGCGGCCAGGUAGGUCUGCUGUGAAAACUCGAGGCUCAACCUCGAGACGUCGGCGGAAACCAUCUGGCUAGAGUCCGGAAGAGGAGAGUGGAAUUCCUGGUGUAGCGGUGAAAUGCGCAGAUAUCAGGAAGAACACCCGUGGCGAAGGCGGCUCUCUGGGACGGUACUGACGCUGAGACGCGAAAGCGUGGGGAGCGAACAGG